GGGGAGGACAUGGCUGUCAGCUGGGAAGAGUGAAAUGGGCAAAGACUGCGUCACGGCUGGAAGGGAUCGUGGCAAGGGCACAGGCAGCAGGAAAGCUGGAAGUGAAACCCACAGGUUCUGUGGCUCUGCAGUGCCCUCUCUAGGAUGCUUUUGUGGAUGUGCAGUGGCUCAAGGUGCAGCAGGUGAUUCUGUAGAAAGGAGUUUCUCCAAUAAAGCAGAGCUUCUCUUUCAACUCCAUGGACAUCAGAGAGAGUCCCUUUCAAAAAAGGAGGCUCAGGUCUGGAGAGACAAAGGCCUCUACUUUCGAAAAGGCCUCUUGGAUCAAGCCCAGCUCUGUCGGAGCAUUCUGAACAAUCACAGUAAGAGAAAUGCAAUGACAGCCAUGCUUCAUCUCCAGCUGUUUCCUGAGAAGAUGACAGACCCUCAUCAGAGCUGACAACAUGUCCAGCCUGCACUACUGCAAGAACUUCUUUGUCUAUGGUAGUGUGGUCAACUGAAGAAGCCGGCUUAGUUGCUCCAGUCAGGUGCUCACACUAAGAAAGGAUGGGUGAAGGUUAUAAAGUGGCUGUGAAUGAGAACUCGGUCUGGGCUCUACCAAGCAGAGAAGCCAUGCAGAGAUGAGAAAGGUGAAAGCCAUGAAACCAUGUUAAGCAGAAAAAUAAAAAUUCAAAACAGAA
ensembl:lncRNA LINC02156 long intergenic non-protein coding RNA 2156